ACGGUUGUAGCGAUCACUAGUGGCGCACGGGUGCGUAACACGUAUGCAACCUACCUUAUAGACGGGGAUAGCCUUUGGAAACGGAGAUUAAUACCCGAUAGUACUAUUGACUGGCAUCAGUUAAUAUUUAAAGAUUUAUCGCUAUAAGCUGGGUAUGCGUCCAAUUAGUUAGUUGGUUAGGUAACGGCUGACCAAGACGAUGAUUGGUAGGGGAACUGAGAGGUUAAUCCCCCACACUGGCACUGAGAUACGGGCCAGACUCCUACGGGAGGCAGCAGUAGGGAAUAUUGGGCAAUGGAGGCAACUCUGACCCAGCCAUGCCGCGUGCAGGAUGAAGGCGUUAUGCGUUGUAAACUGCUUUUAUAUAGGAAGAAACAGACCUUGCGAGGUAAUUUGACGGUACUAUAUGAAUAAGCACCGGCUAACUCCGUGCCAGCAGCCGCGGUAAUACGGAGGGUGCAGGCGUUGUCCGGAUUUAUUGGGUUUAAAGGGUGCGUAGGCGGUUUAUUAAGUCAGUGGUGAAAGACGGUCGCUCAACGAUUGCAGUGCCAUUGAUACUGGUAGACUUGAGUGAGAUUGAGGUAGCUGGAAUGGAUAGUGUAGCCGUGAAAUGCAUAGAUAUUAUCCAGAACACCAAUUGCGUAGGCAAGUUACUAAGUCUCAACUGACGCUGAGGCACGAAAGUGUGGGUAUCAAACAGGAUUAGAUACCCUGGUAGUCCACACUGUAAACGAUGAUAACUAACUGUUGGCUUUCGGGUCCGUGGUACAGAGAAAUCGUUAAGUUAUCCCCCUGGGGAGUACGCCGGCCACGGUGAAACUCAGAGGAAUUGACGGGGGUCCCCCACAGCGGCGGAGCCAGUGGUUUAAUUCGACGAUACCCGAAGAACCUUACCUA
rnacentral:rRNA from 1 species